UCUCCGUUGGUGAACCAGCGGAGGGAUCAUUACCGAGUUUACAACUCCCAAACCCCAUGUGAACCUUACCAAACGUUGCUUCGGCGGGAUGCCCCGGGCGCGGGCCGCAAGGCCUCAGCCCCGGAACCAGGCGCCUGCCGGAGACCCCUCAAACUCUUGUUUUACAGGUUGUCUGAGUCUUUAUAAAAUGAAUCAAAACUUUCAACAACGGAUCUCUUGGUUCUG
rnacentral:misc_RNA from 1 species